AGGCCUACGGGGGGCAGCAGUGAGGAAUAUUGGUCAAUGGUCGGGAGACUGAACCAGCCAAGCCGCGUGAGGGAGGAAGGUACAGAGUAUCGUAAACCUCUUUUGUCAGGGAACACAGACUGGGACGCGUCCCCGGAUGCGUGUCCCUUACGCAACAGCAUCGGCUAACUCCGUGCCCGCAGCCGCGGUAAUACGGAGGAUGCGAGCGUUAUCCGGCUUUAUUGGGUUUAAAGGUUGCGCAGGCGGUCUGUUAAGUCAGCGGUC
rnacentral:rRNA from 1 species